CAGAAUAAAAACUUUUAUGCUUCCAAGCAUACCAACAAGAACAUGGAGAAACAACCUACAGAACAGAAAAGAUUUGCAAAUCAUAUAUCUGUUAAGGGGCUUGUAUACAGUAUACAUAAAGAACAUUCACAACUCAAUUUUUGUCUGUUUUGCUCAGUUAGAAAUGGGCAAAACAGAUAUAUCUCUAAAGACUAUAUAAAUGGCCAACAAUUAUAUGAACAUCUGUUCAACAUCAUUAGGGAAUUGCAAAUCAAAAUCACAAUUACAAUAAGAUACCAGUUCACACUCACUAGAUUGGCUAUAAUCAAAAAGAUCAAUAACAAAUAUUGAUGAAGAUGUGGAAAAAUUAGAACCCUAUUCAUUGCUGGUGGGAUUACAAAAUGGUACAGCUUGUUGGUUUUGUAGUUUUUCAAAAAGUUAAACAUAAAGUUGUCAUAUGAUCCAGUAAUUCCAUCUGUAGGUAUGCCCAAGAGAAAUAACAUGUACCCACACAAAUACUUGUACACACAUGUUCAUAACAGCAUUAUUUGUAACAGCCAAAGUGGAAACAAUACAAGUAUUCAUCAAUUGAUGAGUAGAUAACAAAAUAUGACAUAUACAUACAAUGAAGUAUUUUCAGUGAUAAAAAGGAAAGAAGUACUGAGACACACUACACUGUGGACAAAUCUUGAAAAUUUUUAUGCUAAAUGAAAAAAAAACAGAUACAAAAGUCUACAUAUUAUAUAAUUCCAUUCAUAUGAAUGUCUCAAAUAGGCAAAUCCAUAGAGACAGAAAGUAGAUUAGUGGUUGCCAGGGGCUUGGGGGUGGAGGGAAUGGGCAAGGGAGUGACUACUCAUGAGUACUAGGCUUGUUGGGAGGCAAUGAAAAUAUUCUGAAUUAGCUAGUGGUCAUGGCUGUACAACUCUGAAUAUACUAAAAAACCACUGAAUUGUACAAUUUAAAGAGUGGCUUUUAUGGUAUGUGAAUUAUAUCUAGAAAAAUAAAAUCGCCAAGUUCUAUUUUUCCUCAACAUUGAUUCUAGAGUUCCAAACCCAGAAUCCUGAUGAGAGGUUAUGGAAUGGAGUCCAAGAAUACAAUACCUCUUACAGGUACCAGCAGUUUUGGGAUUCCCUGCAUAGACUUUAGUCAACAUCUCUUGUCUCUGGACAAGCGCAGAGCAACAAGCAGAAGUGGGGAGGUGGGGAGGAGCCCUGCAUGGUUUCCCCU
rnacentral:lncRNA from 1 species